rnacentral:tRNA from 1 species
GGAAGGGCAAGCCAAUUUGGCGGUGGCCAUACUCUUGAAAAGUGCUCGGAGUUAAUGACUUGUGUGGGUUCGACUCCCACUCCUUCCG